UUCCUUUCCCUAGGUAUGGGGCAGAUAUGAAGGCGUUGAACUUCUCAAGGUCAUUUAAGAUAGCUGUGAUUUGGGGGGUGGGGACAGUGGUGAUAUUCAGAAUAUUUAAACACUAGUACAGCCCACACACUGACCAGUUAGAUUGACAGCUGGCCCAAACCAUCAGCUGGAGGAGGAGGGCAGAGCUGGACUCAGAUAAGUUUAUUUGUCUUUGUGCCUUUCUGCUUCAUCAUGUGUCUGUUCAUCACCAAGCUCACAGAUGUCCCUUAAGAGCAGUUCCUGACUAGGUCACAGGAUGCAAGAUCCUGGGAUCUCUCUUGCAUUCUGAGCAGGUCAGAUCUGCCUAGCAUGUGGCACCCUGCCUGGCCUGGCAGAGGACCCAGCAGUGGAGGGCAGUGAGCUGAGGUCCUUUCCAGCUCCAGACCCAUGCUUGCUGCAGACCUGCCACUAGGCUUUGUGGGGACAAGCUUCUCUUAGGGGCCCUUGCCAUCCUCAUGUCCCCUGGAGCUGCCCCUCCUUCCUUCCUGUUCUUCUCAAAAGAAUUGUGGGCCAGGAUUAGGUGGCCUGUCCAUGCUCUGAUCCACCUCCUCAUGCCUCUCUUUCUUCAUCAGCCAGGGCAGGGCCAUCAGCAAGUCCACAGUGUCUUGCUGUAGAGGAUGGGACUGUGGUGUUGGGGUGGUGGGGAGCCAUCUUCUGACAAUUGAGGAAAGCGUCAGGCCUCAAGGCAGCAUCUGCCCCAGCCCCAGGCUUCCCACCUCUGGACACAUGGUGCACUUCACCAAUAGGCUUCUUUUACCUGGCCUUUCUCUUUGCCUUGUUAGGUAAUCUCUGCCUUUGAGGUCCCAAGGUGGCCUGGUAAAGUCACAAGGGCAGAGGAAGACACAACCACACCUACGGUUGCGGGAAGUGAGAGACUUGGACUCCAGCCCACCUUCCUACUGAGCAGUCUUAGACUGUCCUGUGAAGUGAAGUGUGAUGGGACAGCCUCUUUUCAGCUGUUAUGAAAAUGGAGACAGAGGAAUUGAGGCCCUUGCCAAGGUUACAGAAUUGGAAUACGGAGCCAAGCUGCCCCACGACAUGUGAGAUCAUCAGAAAGAGGAAAAGCCAAGCAGGAAGAGAGGACAGUAGCCAUUGUCCUGAGGCCGAAGCAGUAGGAGCCAGGAUGGAGGACAAGGGCCCAGGCAAUCCUGCCCAUCUCAGAUUUGGCAGGGGACCUGGGGAAAUGUGCCCCAACCCAUCCCUUUGGCCUGUUAGCCUGGCAUCUCCUCCUUCACCAUCUCUGCCCUUGUCACAAAUUUUCGGGCCCGUCCUGAGUCUGAGGUGCUAUAUGGAACACUCUGGGUAGGCCUCUGGUAAAUGGGAGCUCUUCACCAUCCGUAUUUCCCCCAAAGGACCAAGGGCAGCAUGCAGGGAAGUUGCCAGAGCAAGGGACUCCAGCCUUCUAGGAGUUAACGACUCUCUUCCCCAGCUGUCCUCCCCUUGGUGCUCUUCUUCCUCCCUCCUCCUGUCACAGCAGGCAGGGCCUGGACCCAGGAGCCAUGCUGCUGUGCUGUUGCCAGGGGAGCUGGGAGGCAGAUCUGAGCUAUGCAGGGAAAAGGCCCAGGCUGUCAAAGUGUCUGAGAUGAACCGUCGCCAUCCCUGUGCAGCUGGGCUCAGACGUGUCUCCGCUCUUGUUCUGUGCCUGAGAAUGGCGAAGCCCAGUGAGGUUCAAGGGCAAACUCUCUAUUCAUUAGUCAGGGGUUCUUGACGUCUAAUCUCUCCCAGGGAUGGGUUCCCCUCCCCCCACAACUUCUCUCCCUCCUGUGACACAUUCCUGGGUGCCUUUCGUGAGUACUGUACACCCUCUUACUGCCAACCCUCUCUCCAAAGGCCCCUGAAUAAACUCCCCCCAAGGAGAGCAGGCAGGGCAGAGACAAUGACUGCAGGAAAUCAUUCAGGCAGAACCCCAUCCAUGCUCCACUCCCAGUGCCCUAGUGGGCCCCGCUCCCUUUUGACUCAGGGCACCCUUGGGACACCAGCCUGCACUGGCCUGGACAGGAGGAAACUACUGAGCACUGUCCUAAGGACAACAGGCUAGUCCAAUACCAUUCUCAGUGGGCUCUUUGGGUGCCUCUAUGGCUUAUAUCACACUGGCUGGCUAUUCUUGUGCUUUUCUGUACCAUCAGGUAUCUAUUUUAAGACACUCUCAAACGCUGUUGGUUAGGGAGUGUAAACUGUACAAUGUUUUCUGAAAUGUGGCAAUAUCAAAAUGUAAAAGGCACAUAUACUUGGUCACAAAUUGCACUACCCUGUGGGUAUAUUUGUAAAAGUUCCUAAAGAAGUAUGUAUGAGAUGUUCAUUGGAGUAUUUCUUGUUAAGAGUGUAAAGAAAUGGAAGCUGUAGUCCAUACUGUGGAAUACUAUGCAGCAGUAAAAAUCAAUCUGGUAGAUCUCUCUAUGUGAGGCUGGUCAGUGUAUAUUAUUGGGUGAUAGAAUAAAUUGCAGAACAGGCAA